rnacentral:rRNA from 1 species
UACAGAGGUCCCGAGCGUUGUUCGGAUUCACUGGGCGUAAAGGGUGCGCAGGUGGCUUGACAAGUUUGAUGUGAAAUCUCCGGGCCCAACCCGGAAAAUGCAUUGAAUACUGUUGAGCUUGAGGUUUGGAGGGGGGACUGGAAUUCUCGGUGUAGCAGUGAAAUGCGUAGAUAUCGAGAGGAACACCAGUGGCGAAGGCGAGUCCCUGGACAACACCUGACACUGAGGCACGAAAGCCGGGGGAGCAAACAGG